rnacentral:misc_RNA from 1 species
UUUGUUAAAACAAAGAUGCCUGCCUGUAUCUGUUUUAUCUAGAAAUGGUAUGAAUAGUAAAAGUAAAAUACUAUUUCUAAUUAAAAAAAAAUUUACAUUUUGUAUGUCUUAAUAAAUAUUGAUAUUUUAAAUGUCAAUAACAAAAGAGAAGUAAUAAAAAGGAGAUAAUUUUCAAUUUAUCGAAAUAUGAUUUCAUGUAAUAAAGAUACUCUCGAUUGCAUGUGUACGCUUUAUGUAAAGUGUCUGCAAUGGUGCAUCGGUUUGAUAAUGGUAAAAAUAAUGUUUACAUGAAUGAUAUAAUUAGACACACAUGUAUAUCUAUAAUACAGUGAAUAGAAUGGGAAAACAAAACGGAUCUUGUUGGUGGUUUGUGAAAGCCGUAAAAUGGAUACCAGUUAUUUUCAUUUUGACAAUUGUCUUAUGGUCCUAUUAUGCUUAUGUAGUGCAGUUAUGUUUUUAUACUGUAGAUAAUUAUGUUCAAAAAGCUUUUUAUUUAUUUUUUUAUCAUAUCCUGUUUCUAUUAUUUUUAUGGUCUUAUUGGCAGACUGUAUUUACAGAUUUAAUAGAAGUACCAUACAAGUUUAAAAUUCCAGAUGUAGAAAUGGAAAAAUUUCAACAAGCUGAAACGGAAGAAGCACAAAGACAAAUCUUAGAAAGAUUUGCACAAGGUCUUCCAGUCACAAAUCGCACUAUAAAAGGAGUAAUUCGUUUUUGUGAGAAAUGUCAAUUAAUUAAACCAGAUCGAGCACACCAUUGUAGUGUAUGUAGUACAUGUGUUUUAAAAAUGGAUCAUCAUUGUCCAUGGGUGAAUAAUUGUAUAGGAUUUCACAAUUAUAAAUUCUUCAUGUUGUUUUUGGCAUAUGCUCUUCUUUAUUGUAUAUUUAUUACUGCUACAUCUUUACAAUAUCUUAUACGUUUUUGGAAAGGGGAAUUAGAUGGAAUGGGUAGAUUUCAUCUACUUUUCUUAUUCUUUGUUGCAUUGAUGUUUGCAGUUAGUUUAAAUUCUCUUUUUUUUUAUCAUUGCUAUCUUGUUUUACAUAAUAGGUCUACAUUAGAAGCAUUUACACCACCUAUGUUCCGUACAGGAAAGGAUAAAGAUGGUUUUAGUCUUGGAAAGUAUAAUAAUUUCCAAGAAGUAUUUGGUGAUAAUCCUAAAUUAUGGUUCCUUCCUAUUUUUACUAGAUACGCUACUUCUAAAAAUAAUAUAGGAUUACAUGAAGUAGAAGGUAGAGUGUGGGUUACAGUUUUGGCGAUGGGAUAAACUUCCUGAACGGCUGUGCAAUGAAGAUACACAUACUUUGUUGGGACAUACUACCCAACAAUGGGGUGAUGAGACUGAACUUGACUCUCCACCUCCUUAUGGGUCACAAUCAGCACUACUGUGAUAGGCCAUGCAAUGGAUGCCAAUCAACCAUUGGUGAAUACAACUGAAAUUGUUUGAAAUAACAUUUUAAAAUUUAUUUAUUUUUAUUAUAACAAAUAUUUUUUGAGAAUAAUAGA